AGCGAACGUUAGCGGCGCGCCUAACACAUGCAAGUCGCACGAGAAACGGAGCAAUCCGCGGUACAGUGGCGCACGGGUGAGUAACACGUGGAUGACCUUCCCUGGAGUGGUGGAUAACCUGCCGAAAGGCGGGCUAAUACAGCAUGGGACCGCGACGCUUUGGCGAUGUGGUGAAAGCGGGCCUCUAUAUAUAAGCUCGCGCUCCGGGACGGGUCCGCGUCCCAUCAGCUAGUUGGUGAGGUAACGGCUCACCAAGGCUUCGACGGGUAGCUGGUCUGAGAGGAUGGCCAGCCACACUGGAACUGAGACACGGUCCAGACUCCUACGGGAGGCAGCAGUGGGGAAUCUUGCGCAAUGGGCGAAAGCCUGACGCAGCGACGCCGCGUGGGCGAAGAAGGCCUUCGGGUUGUAAAGCCCUGUGGGGAGAACGAACCGUACGGGGGCGAACACCCUCCGUGCCUGACGGUACUCCUUUAGCAAGCAUCGGCUAACUCUGUG
rnacentral:rRNA from 1 species